rnacentral:rRNA from 1 species
UACGUAGGGGGCAAGCGUUGUCCGGAAUCAUUGGGCGUAAAGAGCGUGUAGGCGGCUUGGUAAGUCCGCUGUGAAAGUCCAGGGCUCAACCCUGGAAUGCCGGUGGAAACUGUCAAUCUUGAGUCCGGAAGAGGCGAGUGGAAUUCCUGGUGUAGCGGUGAAAUGCGCAGAUAUCAGGAGGAACACCAAUGGCGAAGGCAGCUCGCUGGCACGGUACUGACGCUGAGACGCGAAAGCGUGGGGAGCAAACAGG